UCCGGUUUGUCACCGGCAGUCUCACUAGAGUGCCCAACUGAAUGUGGCAACUAAUGACAAGGGUUGCGCUCGUUGCGGGACUUAACCCAACAUCUCACGACACGAGCUGACGACAGCCAUGCAGCACCUGUGUUCCCGUUCUCUUUCGAGCACUCCCCGAUCUCUCGGGGAUUUCUGCCAUGUCAAGGGUAGGUAAGGUUUUUCGCGUUGCAUCGAAUUAAUCCACAUCAUCCACCGCUUGUGCGGAUCCCCGUCAAUUCCUUUGAGUUUUAAUCUUGCGACCGUACUCCCCAGGCGGAUGACUUCACGCGUUAGCUGCGUUACUAAAGGAUUUAACUCCUCCAACAACUAGUCAUCAUCGUUUAGGGCGUGGACUAC
rnacentral:misc_RNA from 1 species